rnacentral:rRNA from 1 species
UACGUAGGCAGCGAGCGUUGUUCGGAGUUACUGGGCGUAAAGGGUGUGUAGGCGGAAGUCCAAGUGGUGUAUGAAAGCUCCCGGCUUAACCGGGAAGGGUUAUGCCAGACUGGACAUCUAGAGUGUGGGAGAGGGACGUGGAAUUCCGGGUGUAGUGGUAAAAUGCGUAGAGAUCCGGAGGAACACCAGAGGCGAAGGCGGCGUCCUGGCCCACAACUGACGCUCAUCCACGACAGCAUGGGGAGCGAACGGG